GCUGCGGCUCCGGCUUCUGGCGCUGCUGCUUCUGCUGCUGCCACCGCCCGCGCGCGCCCCGAAGCCCUCGGCGCAGGACGUGAGCCUGGGCGUGGUGAGCGCGGGGUCCGCAGGCUCCUGGGGUCUGCAGGGAGAUUGGGAGAGGGAAGCCGGGCCCGGACUCCUGGGUCCGGAGGAGGCAGGGGCCAGAUUCCAAUAUGCAAAGAGUGACUGAGGAUGGGGUCUGUGCUCCCGGCUUCUUGGGUCUGUCGGGAGGUUUGGGGCUGGGAUUUGGAGCUCUGGAAAGGAGCUGAGGUGCGGAGCUGAAGUCCAGACAAGACUGGCAAACCCGGGACGGAAGCGGGAACCUAUGGAGGGGAGCAGGCAGGCAUCCGGGGCUGGGGCCCUGGACUCUGGGUGCCUGGGAGGGGCAGGGCUGCCAGGAUGGUGGUGGGCAGAGAGAGCCCAUACUUUUCACCCAGCCCGCUUCACCUGUCCACUCCGAUGCCCUAGGACUGGCUAACUCGCUAUGGUUACCUGCCGCCACCCCACCCUGCCCAGGCCCAGCUGCAGAGCCCUGAGAAGUUGCGCGAUGCCAUCAAAGUCAUGCAGAGGUUCGCGGGGCUGCCGGAGACCGGCCGCAUGGGUAGGUGGCCCCCACUCCUCCCCAGCCCUGCCUCUGCACCCAGCCUGACCACCGCCCAACAGCCUUUAGAUCUCAGUGUGCUCCUGGAACACGGAGCUGUGAAGAUGCUGAUCUCAGACCCCAAACCCAGGGUUUUGGGAGGCGGAGACUCAAGGAUUGCUUCAGGCCAGGAGUUUGAGACCAGCUUGGCCAACAAAGUGAGACCCCCCCACUCUCCAAGGAAUUUUUUUUUUUUUUUUUGAGACGGAGUUUCCCUCUUGUUGCCCAGGCUGGAGUGCGAUGGUACCAUCUCGGCUCACCGCAACCUCUGCCUCCCAGGUUCAAGUGAUUCUCCUGCCUCAGCCUCCUGAGUAGCUGGGAUUACAGGCACGCACCACCACACCAGGCUAAUUUUGUAUUUUUAGUAGAGACGGGGUUUCUCCAUGCUGAUCAGGCUGGUUUCGAACUCCCGGCCUCAGGUGACCCGCCCGCCUUGGCCUCCCAAAGUGCUGGGAUUACAGGUGUGAGCCACCGUGCCCAGUCCUCUAAGGAUUUUUUUAAACUUAGCUGAGUGUAGUGGCAUAGGCCUGUGGUCCCAGCUACUCAGAACGCUGAGAUGGGAAAAUUGCUUAAGCCCAGGAGUUCAAGGCUGCAGUGAGCUGUGAUUGCACCAUUGCACUCCAACCUAGGCAACAGAUGGAGACCCAGUCUCUAACCAAAUAUACUUUGAGCAUCUCUUAGAUGCCACGCCCUUUCAGCUCCAAUGGUAUAAUGAUAAAUAAAGUAGGUAAGGUUCCUGCUCUCAUGGAGCUAACUUUCUUGAGGGAGAGAGACAGAUCAAGAACAUAAAUAUGCAAGAUAAUUUCAGAUGGCGGUGAGUGUUUGGAAAAAAAUAAAAUGCUAUUGGCAUUGAGGGGCUGGUCUGGUUAGGGCAGGUUCCUCUGAAAAGUGUCAUACGAGCUGAGACCACAAAGGGGAGGAACCAGCCAUGGGAAGAUGUGGAAGA
rnacentral:lncRNA from 1 species